UCAGGAAUUUUAGAGAUCAAUAAGGUUGCCGGCUUGCCCAUCAUGACCAAGCACCAAGCAAUAUCGAUUGAAGAAAUUGAAGUCAUUAAGCAGGAAAGAAGUUGCGUUGUAAAAGAGUGCAAGAACAGAAACUGCAAUAGCGGCAUUGGUAGCAGAAACAGUCUCAGACCAAAAUAUUGUAAUGACCAAUGGCGCCACGACCGCACAGCCAUGCGUUACUGAUGCUAAAAAUUUAACAUUGACGGAGCACAGGGAGUUUUAGGUCAGAAUAUGAAUAGUGCGCAGCAAGCACGCGUACAGCAAGCAAUAGAUCUGUAUUUUGCAACAGUUGAAAAUUAAUGUACGCUUCCUUAUCUCCUACACUAUCACAGGGGUCAAAACGCAGGGUAAUUGCCAGUAUUCUAAAUAUGUCUUUCCCAGAGUUCAAAUAAUAUACGCGUAUAUACGAAGCAGCAGAGAUUUAUGAAGAUGUAGAAAUAUUAAAGCGGUGCUAUGAGCACACAAUAAAAUCCCCCCAAGUAUGGCCCAUUAAUCUUUAUAUGCGUCUAUCAGAUGUCUUUCAGUACCAUAAAUCAAAGGACGUUGCACUGCCUCAAAUCGGUUUACAGUAUAUUUCACCGAAAUUAAUCCAUUGGCGAAAUUUAAUUUCGACAACAAAUUAUGACCAUAUAGUCAUUUGGGACUACUAUCGCAGUACUGGUAUAUUUUAACUAAAGUAAUGAGAUGCAUAACGAACGAGCAAAGCACGCCGCCAGAAAAUAAUGAAAGUUCUAUUUUUGAAAAAUCAGUUGGGUUGCACGCCGUAGAGCAGGUACA